ACAGCCAACCGGCUCCCACAUAUCUGCAUGCACUUAAAUACAAAGGCAGGGAAGGGUCAGACCACCAUCUGGGUACUCUAAGGUACAUAAAAGAGGUGGGGGAAAGAGAGGAUCAUUCAGUAGUCCUCCCUCCCCCUCCUCUUUCACCCCCAAGUGUCUCCCUCGACUGCCCUCCCCCACCUCUAGCUGACCAUGGCUUCAGAGGCAGAGAAAACAUUCCAUCGGUUUGCUGCCUUUGGAGAAUCAUCAAGCAGUGGCACUGAAAUGAACAACAAGAACUUCUCCAAGCUGUGCAAAGACUGUGGCAUCAUGGAUGGCAAGACAGUCACCUCCACGGAUGUGGACAUCGUGUUCAGCAAAGUCAAGUGAGGAGCCAAAGAUAUGGGGGUGGGGGUGAGAAGAACCUGUGAGGUAGUUGGCCACGGAAGGGUUCAUGUGGUGGAACAUUUGCAGUGGGCCUACCAAGCACCACAGGGUACCUGGUGCUGUAUUAUUCUUUGUCUUCAAGACACUCACUGAUAGGACAAAAGAGGCCAAAUCUGAGUGAGGCAAGAGUUGGACUUUGGAAGGU
rnacentral:sRNA from 1 species